rnacentral:lncRNA from 1 species
UUGAAUUUGAUUUUGGCUCUCUAAGUUGAAGUUUAUGCUUCAUACCUGAGAGUAAAUCGGAUCAAGAGCUUGCGGGGACCUUCUUUUAUGGUCAACGCGAAGUGCUACUUGAUUCCUUUGGUUUGCUUGAGGUUGUUUAAAGUUCUAUUGAUUGAGGAUACUUUGCACUACAUGUGUUGUUGCUUGAUGUGAUAUCUAGGAUGCAUGCGUCACAUAGGAUCUGGACAAGGCCUUAGUGACAUAAUAACUAUGAUAGACGAUAUAAAACUUGUUUGUUCUAUGUGUUAAGACAAUGUAAUGUUUAACUUUAUCAAUAA